AUGCCGCCGCCUGACGCGGCCACCCUCAGCACGCGCAUCGGCGCUUUCAGGCUCCACCCCAAUGUCGUCCGCAACUUCUUCGAGCACCACAGCCGCGUCAAGGACGAGGCUGCGCUCUGCGGCGACAGCAGCUCCUUCUCGUCGGAGGAUGUCCCGAGGAUGUCUGGGUGCGUCAUCGGGAUGAAGAGCGGGCAGACGGUUGAAAUCGUGGACAGCUUGGACAUCCUGCUCGACCCCGUCUCGGGAACCCUCUGCCGCGCCUUGCUGGAGAAGAAGGAUCACUACAAGGAGCGUUGCCCUGGCUCCAUCGUCCUGGGAUGGUACUCUUCUGGGACUCGGAGCGCCGCCGUGCAGGACACCGACAUGCAAAUCCACAAGUUGAUGGAUGCUAAGGGAAGAGCUUUUUAUCUUCUAUUAGAUCCUGCAAUCAAGGCCCCCCAGAUGGAUCUCCGUGUGUGUAUUUAUGACUCUGUGUUGAGCGCUACCGAUGGGGGUCCUCAGCUCAACCUUGUCAAAUUUAACUGUACAACUGAGGCUAUCUCCACCCUUGGUUUCAUUAAGGUUGAUAACAAAUCUAUUGCCUGGGAUAGUGUUGUUGGUCCUGGUGAGGAUCUGGAAAAUUUCAUCCUAAAAUUCAAUUUUACACAACCUUUGAUCGUUCCGGACGCACAACUUAAGUAUGUUUUGGAGAACAAACUUAAAGUCAUUUGUUGGCUUGAUGCACACAUUGUUCAUGAGAUGACGUGGGGACUAAAGUAUGUCCUGGGUGAAUUUGUACCUGAAGAAAAGGACAACCUAACUAAUGAAUAUCAUCUUCCGCUGAGCAAGGAACUGGAGAAGAAGGUAAAAGCAUGUGGAUUCAGUGUCUCACCACGAAUGUUGCCACAUGACGCCUUGUUCUACUUAUCCUACAUCCUACAGGAGGUUGGCAAGCUCUCGACCUCUGACAUCACCGUCGUUAUUGACAGAGAGUUUAUAACCACUAUUGGUUACAUGUACAAACUAGAAUUAACUUCAGAUAGUCUCUCUGUGUUCUUGCACCAUAAAUUUGAUGACUGCUUUUAUGGGCGUCGCAUGUCUGACCUAGAGUUUGCAAAAGCUAUUGCAGACCGUCUCCAUUUCUCCGAGGAAAUUAGACCAAACUAUGGCGAAUAUAGCAAACAAGAUAUACUGAGGUUCACCGAAUUUAUUUUGGCAGCUCCUGAUUUGAAAAAUGAUGCUAUGUCACAUCUCAAGCUAAUGGAGGCAGCAGCUAGUGAAGAUCCUUUGGCGGUUCCUGACAAGAAACAUUCAUGUCUCAAAAAAGAGGAAGAUGAUAGACCCAAGAAGCUAGGGACAAGGAGGAGGAGAGCAGCUGAAAGUGCGUUCAAGAUGCCUGCUUCCAAUAAGAAGGCAAAGGUCGCAAUACCGCCGAGCCAGAAGACAGGUGACAACGAGGGGGUUGUCCAUGUGGCGACUUCGCACCCGGCAAAGAAGACGGGCAGGACCCUUACAAGUAGGGCCGGACAGAAAGCUUGGGGCUCAAGGCUUUUGAGGGCCAGCUGGGUUUGGCUCGGGCUCAGCCCGGCUCGAAGGUCCAACAAGCCAAGCGCAAGCCUCCGACCAAGCUCGUGA
rnacentral:rRNA from 1 species